rnacentral:lncRNA from 1 species
CUGCCUCUCUGGAAUUCCUUUAGCAUGUUCUUCUCCACGAAGCAAGGAACCUAUAGAAUUAAGGCAAUGAAUCCAUUAGAAAUGAUUCCAGACGAGGCACAUGGACACUCUUUUGCACCCGAGUAAAGCCUGCAGCACAGCCUUUGUGCUAUGGUCCCUUUGCUGGUGGCUCCCACCCUGUGUUCGUAGCUCUCCUUGAUGAAAGAAAGGUGGCUGCAGGAAAUGGACUCUGCGUUUAAUCUGCUCUCUCUCCCUCUCUCUGGGUGUCUGUUGGCCUUGGCUCAGCUUCGAGCUCUCUGGGAACCCAAAGCCCUGGCUGAUGGCGUUGUUGGACCUGG